rnacentral:rRNA from 2 species
AUGGUUAAGUUAGAAAGGGCGCACGGUGAAUGCCUUGGCACUAGGAGCCGAUGAAGGACGGGACUAACACCGAUAUGCUUCGGGGAGCUGUAAGUGAGCUUUGAUCCGGAGAUUUCCGAAUGGGGAAACCCACUGUUCGUAAUGGAACAGUAUCUUUAUCUGAAUACAUAGGAUAUUGAAGGCAGACCCGGGGAACUGAAACAUCUAAGUACCCGGAGGAAGAGAAAGCAAAUGCGAUUUCCUGAGUAGCGGCGAGCGAAACGGAAUUAGCCCAAACCAAGAGGCUUGCCUCUUGGGGUUGUAGGACACUCUAUACGGAGUUACAAAGGAACGAAGUAAAUGAAGCGACCUGGAAAGGUCCGUCGAAGAAGGUAACAACCCUGUAGUUGAAACUUCGUUCCCUCUUGAGUGGAUCCUGAGUACGGCGGAACACGUGAAAUUCCGUCGGAAGCUGGGAGGACCAUCUCCCAAGGCUAAAUACUACCUAGUGACCGAUAGUGAACCAGUACCGUGAGGGAAAGGUGAAAAGCACCCCGGAAGGGGAGUGAAAGAGAUCCUGAAACCGUGUGCCUACAAGUAGUCAGAGCCCGUUAACGGGUGAUGGCGUGCCUUUUGUAGAAUGAACCGGCGAGUUACGAUCCCAUGCAAGGUUAAGCUGAUAAGGCGGAGCCGUAGCGAAAGCGAGUCUGAAUAGGGCGUUUAGUAUGUGGUUGUAGACCCGAAACCAGGUGAUCUACCCAUGUCCAGGGUGAAGUUCAGGUAACACUGAAUGGAGGCCCGAACCCACGCACGUUGAAAAGUGCGGGGAUGAGGUGUGGGUAGCGGAGAAAUUCCAAUCGAACCUGGAGAUAGCUGGUUCUCUCCGAAAUAGCUUUAGGGCUAGCCUCAUGUUGUGAGAGUCUUGGAGGUAGAGCACUGAUUGGACUAGGGGCCCCCAACGGGUUACCGAAUUCAGUCAAACUCCGAAUGCCAAAGACUUAUCCAUGGGAGUCAGACUGCGAGUGAUAAGAUCCGUAGUCAAAAGGGAAACAGCCCAGACCACCAGCUAAGGUCCCCAAGUAUACGUUAAGUGGAAAAGGAUGUGGAGUUGCUUAGACAACCAGGAUGUUGGCUUAGAAGCAGCCACCAUUUAAAGAGUGCGUAAUAGCUCACUGGUCGAGUGACUCUGCGCCGAAAAUGUACCGGGGCUAAACGUAUCACCGAAGCUGUGGAUUGACAUCUUUGAUGUCAGUGGUAGGAGAGCGUUCUAAGUGCUGUGAAGUCAGACCGUAAGGACUGGUGGAGCGCUUAGAAGUGAGAAUGCCGGUAUGAGUAGCGAAAGACAAGUGAGAAUCUUGUCCACCGAAUGCCUAAGGUUUCCUGAGGAAGGCUCGUCCGCUCAGGGUUAGUCGGGACCUAAGCCGAGGCUGAAAAGCGUAGGCGAUGGCCAACAGGUUGAUAUUCCUGUACCACCUCCCCGCCGUUUGAGUAAUGGGGGGACGCAGUAGGAUAGGGUAAGCGCGCUGCUGGAUAUGCGCGUUCAAGCAGUUAGGCUGAUGAGUAGGCAAAUCCGCUCAUCAUAAAGGCUGAGCUGUGAUGACGAGGGAAUUAUAGUACCGAAGUUCCUGAUUCCACACUGCCAAGAAAAGCCUCUAGCGAGGCGGGAGGUGCCCGUACCGCAAACCGACACAGGUAGGCGAGGAGAGAAUCCUAAGGUGAUCGAGAGAACUCUCGUUAAGGAACUCGGCAAAAUGACCCCGUAACUUCGGGAGAAGGGGUGCUCUGGUAGGGUGUAUAGCCCGAGAGAGCCGCAGUGAAUAGGCCCAGGCGACUGUUUAGCAAAAACACAGGUCUCUGCGAAGCCGCAAGGCGAAGUAUAGGGGCUGACGCCUGCCCGGUGCUGGAAGGUUAAGAGGAGGGGUUAUCCUUUGGGAGAAGCUCUGAAUCGAAGCCCCAGUAAACGGCGGCCGUAACUAUAACGGUCCUAAGGUAGCGAAAUUCCUUGUCGGGUAAGUUCCGACCCGCACGAAAGGCGUAACGAUCUGGGCACUGUCUCAACGAGAGACUCGGUGAAAUUAUAGUACCUGUGAAGAUGCAGGUUACCCGCGACAGGACGGAAAGACCCCGUGGAGCUUUACUGUAGCCUGAUAUUGAAUUUUGGUACAGCUUGUACAGGAUAGGUAGGAGCCUGAGAAGCCGGAGCGCUAGCUUCGGUGGAGGCGUCGGUGGGAUACUACCCUGGCUGUAUUGAAAUUCUAACCCGCGGCCCUGAUCGGGCCGGGAGACAGUGUCAGGUGGGCAGUUUGACUGGGGCGGUCGCCUCCUAAAAUGUAACGGAGGCGCCCAAAGGUUCCCUCAGAAUGGUUGGAAAUCAUUCGUAGAGUGUAAAGGCACAAGGGAGCUUGACUGCGAGACCUACAAGUCGAGCAGGGACGAAAGUCGGGCUUAGUGAUCCGGUGGUUCCGCAUGGAAGGGCCAUCGCUCAACGGAUAAAAGCUACCCCGGGGAUAACAGGCUUAUCUCCCCCAAGAGUCCACAUCGACGGGGAGGUUUGGCACCUCGAUGUCGGCUCAUCGCAUCCUGGGGCUGUAGUCGGUCCCAAGGGUUGGGCUGUUCGCCCAUUAAAGCGGUACGCGAGCUGGGUUCAGAACGUCGUGAGACAGUUCGGUCCCUAUCCGUCGUGGGCGUAGGAAAUUUGAGAGGAGCUGUCCUUAGUACGAGAGGACCGGGAUGGACACACCGCUGGUGUACCAGUUGUCUUGCCAAAGGCAUCGCUGGGUAGCUAUGUGUGGACGGGAUAAGUGCUGAAAGCAUCUAAGCAUGAAGCCCCCCUCAAGAUGAGAUUUCCCAUAGCGCAAGCUAGUAAGAUCCCUGAAAGAUGAUCAGGUUGAUAGGUCAGAGGUGGAAGCGUGGCGACAUGUGUAGCUGACUGAUACUAAUCGAUCGAGGACUUAACCAAAA